AGCUCCAUCCGCCGCCUACCCGCCAGCACGGCCUCCUCGCUUUAGUGUCACCCCACACUUACUCAGUUAAAGACGUCCUUACAUUGAAAAGCAACCGCAUAUUCUAAGUUGCUAGUGUUUCAUCGUCUGUCCGUGUGAGGCAGCGUGCUUGGAGUCCUGAUCUGUGGUUAGCCCUGCUCUCCUCUAGCCUUACUGAGUGACGCUUCCUUGUCCUGCUUGCAAACGCGGACAUGACAUGACAUAGUAGUGAGUGAGGCAGCACGUACUCUUCAGGAGACGCAUCUGUGAGGGAAACACGGCGCGAUGUUCAAGGCGUACACAUUAUCGUUAAGGAAAACCCUAGAAGCCUCCUUACCAGGGGUCCGCGUUGCACACCAGCCUAAGGCCAGGAGGGCUGCUACUGACAAGGGCACAGAACAGUUGGAGAAAAGUAAACAUGAAGAAAGAAAAAGAGACAUGGGAAGAGGCAAAGGGCGUCUAGAGAGGACAAGCGAGGAGCACUGGGCGCUGGUGGCCGGCCAGGUGUUCCAGUCCUGGACUGGUGACUGCCCCCGCCGCACCUACCAGUCCAGCCUCGCCAGCGCCCUCACACUGCGGCCCACCACCGCCGCGGAUGGGGGCGAAGGAAGUGCCGAGCCCUGGAACGGCCACCUGCCCCCAGCAGCGCUGCGGGAGUUAACCCAGCUGGCAGAUGAACUGGGCCUCCGCAAGGACGCUCAGCAGCUGGCCUGGUGGCUCGUGGGCAGCCGACUAGCCUCGGUAGAUGCCGAAUGGAUACUCUCUCAGGUGAAGGACAUCCAAGCCUCGCUAGAAGAGAACGCUUACACGGAGGAGGAGAAGGCCGACCUGCUGCAUUCCCUCACGCUCUACAUCUACUCCCAGAUCAAGAGGCUCAAGUCUCUGCACACGGCCUUCCCCAGCAGCUGCAGCAAGCAGCUCACGUUCACCCUCAGGACACUGAGGAAUCUGGAGGAGCACCCUGCCACUCGCCGUCUGCUGGACACUGCCGGUCAGCCUCCCAUCCCUGAGGACGUCACCGCCGCUCUCCAACGUCACGUCCACGAAUGGUGGAGUGAGGUGGUACAGGUGGAACCAAGCUCCACGGAGGAACGUGAGGAACAACUCAGACGAGCAGUGAACACCGUGACCCGCGUGCCGGCGUUGCUCUCACGAGAAGCCGAGAUGUACCAUCAAAUAUUUCAGAGAGAGCUGUCAGUGUCAUAUGACAAUUUGUGUCGGCGGGAGGUACGCAGCCGCCUUGACAAUCUCGCCUCGUCCCUUCUCGUCCCAAGUGACUCGAAACCUCAAGCCCCAUUGAAAGACAGAUCGCGAGACGGAGAGAUUUACUCACAGCUACAAAACUUCGCCGUAGGUUCGCCGCUUUGGUCACUGUACAAGUCACUGGGCCGCGCGUACAGCGCAUGUGACGAUUUGGAAAGCAAGACUGCCGCCGCGCCACACAGUUAUCCAGGCUGCUUUCUGAGGAGCGUGGCUUUUUGGUUGGGCCCGGCAAGCAGAGACACCAGGCUGGGUAUCUUUCACUCUUAUAGCAGCACGUCCACCCUUCAAGAUGUACUGACAGCCUUCACGGAGGCGAGGGAGUGGUGGCGGGAGCUGGCAUGGCCCGACCCGGAGACUCGAGGCGUGGUGGCGGUGGGGCUGCUGGAGAACCUCUGCUCCCUCGCAACUCGCCGAUGCCAGGGCGUCAUCUCCCGCUGCCCUCGAGACUCCACGCCACCAGUACAACCUUACUUUGACGUUGAAUUUUGUUCAUGCCUGAAGAGCGUGUCGCGGGUCGCUGAGGAGGUGCAGCAGCUUUCCGAUGACCUUGGACUGGAGGAAGUGGUGGAGGGAAUGCGCAAGUGUGGUAACAGGGGCGCCGCGGAUCAAGCCAAGGAUACCGUCUCCACCUUGCUUUCCAGCGUUGUCCAGAAUUUGGAAAACUUACUAGACCAAUACAUAGACACGGCCAUCGAUCAGGCAGUGCCCAAGUUGAGGGAGGAGGUGGUGGAGGUGUGUGAGCGAGGAGGCAGCUCGACGCCUCCCAGCUUGCCUUCAACUCUCAGCCUCCUCCAGGAACAUCUCCCGCACUCAUUAUCACCAAGGUCACACUACGUUCCACCGAGCAGUUCAAAGGCGUCCAGCACCUCGUCCUCCCCAUGCCUCUCUGUAUGCUACUCUCCGUCACUUUUCCAGCGUCUUUUGGUGAGACUGUGGGAUGCUGUCGUUCUUCAGUUUAUGGUCACUGUUGCUGAGAAAACAGGCAAGCAGACUUCAGAAUACUUCAGUCGGGUGCACAGCAUCCUGGAGGCCACCCUGGCGCUCUUCACCACUCCCGGUCGUCUCCACCCUAGAGCUGCCGCCACACCAGGGUACAGGUCUGUGGCCGAGCAAGUGAAGGGCCAGCGAAUGUCUAGCCCGGCGCUCAUCCUACAGUACUACCUGUCUCGCUACACACAGCAGACCGAACCGCACCUCCCAACUGUAGCUCACGUCCUCGUCAGGGCCUUCUACAGCCAGCCAGGACACUUGACGGUGCGAGUGUUAGAGGCACGGGACGUGGAAACGGUGACAGGAAAGUCUCUGCGUUACCACGUGACUGUGCAGGUGGUGCCCCGCGAGGUGUGUUGCGGGGGUUUCCUGCACCGCACCACCACUGUCACCCACUGCCCCGCCUCCUUCUACGAAACAUUCGAAUUCCCGACGGGAGAGUGCAGGGGCGAGGGCAGCGCCGGAUGGCUACAGUUCACCCUCGAGGCGACGCGGAGCAGCGGCGGCAGCGGUUUAUUUCUCGGGGAAGCCUUCGUGCCCCUCGCCUCCAUCCCAUACGUGGAUUCCCCGGAGCUACAGAACACGACCCUCCGAUUGACUACGCCUGUUUUCCCACCAGGAUACGAGUCUGUGGCGGUGCUUCGGUCACGAGUGAGCAGCGACGAGCAGGCUGCGUCCUUCAUUCGUAUGCUAGAGAGGAGGCACCCGGAAAGCCGCUGCGCAGGACACACCAAGUGCUCGAGGAGCGGGCCUUAGCAGUUCCGUGAUGGAUGGAGCCCGUACAUUCCUGCGCCUUUCACAAUAAUAAUACUUGGUCUUCUAUCAACUGGUGCUGGUUAUCUAGAGUAAGAUUUUUGUUAACAUCAAUGCAAUAUAGGAGAAAAUUUAUACUAUGGCUAAAGGCUGUUUCUUGAUGAACAUAUACAUAAAUACAAACUGUAAAGCAAAGCUGAAAUAUAUGUACUGCAACAUCUAUAA